rnacentral:lncRNA from 1 species
GUCUCUGUUGAGCUAAUAGAACAUAUAAAGACAUUCCAAAUGAUUUUUAGAGUUGUUAAACUUAUAAAAGCAGGAGAACAGUUUCUUUAAUGCAUGUUUGUUAUUACUCUAAUGGAUAUUAGGAGACUUGUAAGCACUCCAGUAUAUUUUAUAAUUGAAAGAUACCAUGCUUUUGGCCCCUUAGUUAAUCAUCAACUGAAUUAUGAUAUAACAUGGUUGAAACAUUAAUAUAGCAGAAGACUCUCUUAACUUCCUCUUUCCAGGUUUUAAAGAUGAUGAUAAUCAAGCCACAGAUUUACUAUUAAACAGAGGACAGUUAUGGCAAAAAAAUUAAACUCCCAGCUUGUAUAUAUUCUGGAGUCUUUUCUGAAGAAAGCUCGCUGCCUCUUUUGCUGCUGUCUUUCUCAGCAUCCCUGCAUCUACCAAGGUGAGCAAACGAGUACUGCAGUGUGUGUGUUGGGGGGGGGGGUGCACAUGCAUGCACUACUGUAUGCUGUACAAUCCCAGCGCCCAGCCUCAAGUUGAACCAAGUUUCACUGUUGUUAGCAUGGUAUAACUCACACGUUCAUAUAGUUAAACAAGCA